UUUACUAUAGUGAUCAUUAAAGAUAGUUCAAUAGUACAGAGAAGAUUAGCAUGGCCCCUGUGCAAGGAUGACAUACAAAUUUGCAAAGCAUUCCAUAUUUUU
rfam:Cavia porcellus supercont2_15 genomic scaffold, whole genome shotgun sequence.